GGGUUGUGAGGUUAAGCGACUAAGCGUACACGGUGGAUGCCCUGGCAGUCAGAGGCGAUGAAGGACGUGCUAAUCUGCGAUAAGCGCCGGUAAGGUGAUAUGAACCGUUAUAACCGGCGAUUUCCGAAUGGGGAAACCCAGUGUGACUCGUCACACUAUCAUUAACUGAAUCCAUAGGUUAAUGAGGCGAACCGGGGGAACUGAAACAUCUAAGUACCCCGAGGAAAAGAAAUCAACCGAGAUUCCCCCAGUAGCGGCGAGCGAACGGGGAGGAGCCCAGAGCCUGAAUCAGCAUGUGUGUUAGUGGAAGCGUCUGGAAAGGCGCGCGAUACAGGGUGACAGCCCCGUACACAAAAGCGCAUGUGUUGUGAGCUCGAUGAGUAGGGCGGGACACGUGGUAUCCUGUCUGAAUAUGGGGGGACCAUCCUCCAAGGCUAAAUACUCCUGACUGACCGAUAGUGAACCAGUACCGUGAGGGAAAGGCGAAAAGAACCCCGGCGAGGGGAGUGAAAAAGAACCUGAAACCGUGUACGUACAAGCAGUGGGAGCCCCACCACUAAGCCAGUGGUGAACUCCACAUACGCAUCCUUUGCUGAAGGUGCGGUUAACGGAGCGCAAGCGACGUUCAACCUCAAAAGAAGCAGAGGGGGCUUAGUGGU
rnacentral:rRNA from 1 species